rnacentral:rRNA from 1 species
CAGUCGCCGCGGUAAUACGAAGGGUGCAAGCGUUAAUCGGAAUUACUGGGCGUAAAGCGUGCGUAGGCGGUUUGUUAAGUCUGCUGUGAAAUCCCCGGGCUCAACCUGGGAACUGCAUUCAAAACUGACUGACUAGAGUAUGGUAGAGGGUGGUGGAAUUUCCUGUGUAGCGGUGAAAUGCGUAGAUAUCGGAAGGAACACCUGUGGCGAAAGCGGCUCACUGGACCAUUACUGACGCUGAGGCGCGAAAGCUAGGGGAGCAAACAGGAUUAGAUACCCGGGUAGUCCCUGUCUCUUAUAC